CACUCUAACGGCGUACCUUUUGCAUGAUGGGUCAGCGAGAAAGACGGAAGAGCUUUGCUUAAGCCGAUAGGUGUAGGCGCUUGCUAGCAGUCUUCUUUCUUCUAGUUCUUCCUAAGAGACCCGAAACUGAUCGAUCUAGCCAUCAGCAGGCUGAAGAUUGCUCUAACAGGCGUCGGAAGGCCGAACUCACGUAUGUGGCAAAAUGCGGGGAUGACUCGUGGCUAGGGGUGAAAGGCCAAUCAAGAUCAGAGAUAGCUGGUUUUCCACGAAAUCUAUUUCAGUAGAGCGUACAAGUCAAUGGCCCGGGGUAGAGCACUGAGUGGUCUAGGGGGCUUAACCGUUUUCCAAACCCAAGUAGGCUCCGAAUACGGGUAAUAUCUCGCUUGUACAGACAGACUGUGGGUGCUAAGAUCAAGAGUCAAGAGGGAAAGAGCCCAGAUCGUACGCUAAGGUCCCAAAGCAAGAACUUAGUGGAAAAGGAUGUCAUUGAGCUGCAAUAACCAGGAGGUAGGCUUGGAAGCAGCCAUCCUUCAUUUAGAAAGCGUAGCAGCUCACUGGUCGAGCUUGACAGCACCUAAAAUGUAUGGGGGCUUACGUGAUUCACCGAAGCGACGAGACAUGAUAAGAGGAUGUCGGUAGUGGAACGUUCUGUCAAUUGUAGAAGGGCUCUGGUCACAUGACCUGGAAAGAUCAGAAGUGAGAAUGCUGACACGAGUAACUAUCAAUCCUGAGAAAACCAGGAUCGCCCGCCAGUAGUUGGUUUUCUGCGUUUCGUUAAUCUGCGCAGAGUGAAUCGGUC
rnacentral:rRNA from 1 species